CUUGUUUCUGAAAUGAUGAUUUAAUUUCGUCUUUGUCCGUGCAUCCCUUUUUUUUAACUGUAAAUUACUAGACAAUGUCAUGCGUAGUUUAUAACAGCUGAGCAAUAAUAUUUCAUCGAACUAAAAUUUAGAAAUGAUGAUAAAAUAGCAUAACAAACAUAUUGCUAGAAAGGUGAAAUAUAUAUUGAUUUUGCAUAUUUUUUUGUCUUCAAAGAUGAUUUUUUUUUUUUUUUUUUCCCCGACCGACGACCCGAC
rnacentral:lncRNA from 1 species